rnacentral:lncRNA from 1 species
UUCAAGCCACACUUUCUAUAGCUCUUGGUUAAAUUUUGUCAGUUGUUAAGCAGAAAACCAAUAGAGAUGUCAAUAGGCAAACUCUGCACUGAUUCUCAGUCCUUGCUCUAGAACGAGGUCUCUUGACUUCAGCAUUACUGACAUUCUGGGCUGGACAAUUUUUUUUUGGAGACAGGGCCUCUGGCUCUUUCAUCCAGGCUGGAAUGCAAUGGUGCGAUCUCGGCUCACUGCAACCCCUGCCCUCCAGCUCAAGCCAUCUUCCCACGUCAGCCUCCUGACUAGCUGGGACCACAGGCAUGUACCACUAUGCCUGGCUAAUUUUUGUGUGUGUGUAUUUUCUGUAGAGACAGGAAAUACAUGUUGACCAGGCUGGUCUCAAACUCCUGAGCUCAAGCAGUCUGCAUGCCUUGGCCUCGCAAAGUGCUGGGAUUGCAGGCAUGAGCCACUGCACCGGGUCUGGGCUGGGCAGUUCUAUGUUAUGGUGGCUGUCCAGUUCAUUGUGGGAUGUUUAGCAACCUCCCUGGAUUCUACCCAUUAGACACUAGAUGAUUCCCUGUUUGUAACAGCCAAAAAUGUCUCUAGAGAUUGUCAAGCUUGCCCCCUGGGUAAGAACUAGUUCUCCAUAGUUACUUCAUAGUACUGACUGCCAGUUUGUGGAGCCUUGCUUUUAAACUGUAAAUUAGGCAGCUGCUCGUGACUUAGUGCUAAUUUCUAUUCCAACAGCUAGCGUGAUUAGCUAACCAGAGGCAUAUGCUUUUCAUCUUACCUGUGUGUGCUUUUUCCCUUUUCUUCUACAUCUCUGUAGGAGAUUUGGUUAUGUGAAUUUUUUUUUUUUUUUUUGAGACAGUCUUGCUCUGUCGCCCAAGCUGGAGUGCAGUGGUGCGAUCUUGGCUCACUGCAAGCUCCGCCUCCCAGGAGAAUCGCUUGAACCUGGGAGGUGGAGAUUGCAGUGAGCCGAGAUUGUGCCAUUGCACUCCAGCCUGGGCAACAAGUGAAACUCCGUCUCAAAAAAAAAGAAAAAAAAAAAUCUAUAGACUGGAAGAAAAUAUUUGCAAAUCAUAUAUCUGAUAAGGGACUUGUGUCCAGAUAUAUAAAGAACUCAUAUUACAAUUCAACAAUAAAAAGGCAACCCAAUUAAAAAAUGGGCAAAGGAUUUGAAUGGACGUUUCUCCAAACGAGGCAUAUGAAUGGCUGAUAAGCAUGCAAAAAGAUGCUCAACAUUAGUUGUUAGGGAAAUGCAAAUCAAAACCAUGAUGUGAUACACUUCACAUUCAUUAGAAUGGCUAGAAUAAAGAAGGCAAACCGUAACAAAUGUUGACAAGGAUGUGGAAAAGGUGGAGCCCUCAUAUGUUGCUGGUGGGAAUGUAAAAUAAUGCAGUUGCUUUGGAGAAGUUUGAUAGUUUCUCAAAAUGUUAAACAUAGAAUUGCCAUAUGGUCUAGAAAUUCUCUUAAGUAUCUACCUCAAAGAAAAGAAAACAUAUGUUCACACUCUCCUGCAAAUGUUCAUGUCAGCAUUAUUUAAUAGUCAAAAAGUAGAAAUGACCCAAAAUGUCUGUCAGUUGAUGGAUUGAUAAAGUAUGGUAUGUCAUUCUGUAUAUGACAUGUCCAGUAUAGCCAAAUCUAUAUAAACAGAAACUAGAGCAGUAGUUGCUUGUGGCUUGGAGUGAGAAUGGGUUGGGAGGAAUGAGGAGUGACUGCCGAUGGGUACUUUCGGGGACAAUACAAAUGUUCCAAAGUUAGUUUACAAUGAUGAUUGUACAGUUGUGUAAACGUAUUAGAAACCGUUGUAAAGUUUAAAUGGGUGGAUUUUAUGAUAUGUAAAUUAUAUCUCAAGCUUUUUAAG